rnacentral:rRNA from 1 species
GUGGAUUAGAUACCCUGGUAGUCCACGCUGUAAACGAUGGGCACUAGGUGUGGGGGGUGUCGACUCCCUCCGUGCCGACGCUAACGCAUUAAGUGCCCCGCCUGGGGAGUACGGCCGCAAGGCUAAAACUCAAAGGAAUUGACGGGGGCCCGCACAAGCAGCGGAGCAUGUGGUUUAAUUCGACGCAACGCGAAGAACCUUACCUGGGCUUGACAUGUUCCUGACCGCCGUGGAAACACGGUUUCCCUUCGGGGCAGGAUCACAGGUGGUGCAUGGUCGUCGACAGCU